UACGUAGGGGGCGAGCGUUGUCCGGAUUUAUUGGGCGUAGAGAGCUCGUAGGCGGUUCGAUAAGUCGGACGUGAAAUCUCCACGCUCAACGUGGAGGGGCCGUUCGAUACUGUCGUGACUCGAGUCCGGUAGGGGAGUGUGGAAUUCCCGGUGUAGCGGUGAAAUGCGCAGAGAUCGGGAGGAACACCCGUAGCGAAGGCGGCACUCUGGGCCGGUACUGACGCUGAGGUGCGAAAGCGUGGGGAGCAAACAGG
rnacentral:rRNA from 1 species